rnacentral:sRNA from 1 species
AGCAACUUGGAGGAAUGAAUAGCGAAAGCUUAUUACGUAAAAAGUAAGAAUGAUUGUAUCAUAUAAAAUUCUGAAUAUAUUUUGAUAAUGACAAAAUAUGUUUAAAGGUCUUGACCAAUUCACGUGCCAGCAGUCGCGGUAACACGUGUAAGACAAGUGUUAUUCAUCUUUAAUAGGUUUAAAGGGUACCUAGACGGUAAAAAAAGCCAAUAAAGGGAACUGUUUUACUAGAGUUUUAUAGGAGGUGUGAAACUAUCGUACGGAGAGUGUAGUGAUAAAAUACGUUGAUACUCGACGGACUGUCAACGGCGAAAGCGUUAUCCUAUGUAUAAACUGACGUUGAGGGACGAAGGCUAGGGUAACCAAAAGGAUUAGAUACCCAUGCAGUCCUAGCAGAGAAUUAUGAAUGCCAUAUGUAAUAUAAUAAUAUUAUGUAUAAAUAAAAGUGCAAGCAUUCCACCUCAAGAGUAAGGUGGCAACGCCGAAACUGAAAUCAUUAGACCGCUUCUGAAACCAGUAGUGAAGUAUGUUGUUUAAUUUGAUGAUCCACAAAGAACCUUACCACAAUUUGAAUAUUUAUAAUAUUU